CCUACGGGGGGCAGCAGUGGGGAAUAUUGGACAAUGGGCGAAAGCCUGAUCCAGCCAUGCCGCGUGUGUGAAGAAGGCCUUCGGGUUGUAAAGCACUUUCAGUGGGGAAGAAAGCCUUGGGGCUAAUACCCUCGAGGAAGGACAUCACCCACAGAAGAAGCACCGGCUAACUCCGUGCCAGCAGCCGCGGUAAUACGGAGGGUGCGAGCGUUAAUCGGAAUUACUGGGCGUAAAGCGCGCGUAGGCGGUCUGAUAAGCCGGUUGUGGAAGCCCCGGGCUCAACCUGGGAACGGCAUCCGGAACUGUCAGGCUAGAGUGCAGGAGAGGAAGGUAGAAUUCCCGGUGUAGCGGUGAAAUGCGUAGAGAUCGGGAGGAAUACCAGUGGCGAAGGCGGCCUUCUGGACUGACACUGACGCUGAGGUGCGAAAGCGUGGGUAGCAAACAGGAUUAGAUACCCUAGUAGUC
rnacentral:rRNA from 1 species